ensembl:lncRNA
CCCCACUGGCCCUGCAAGGGCCUGAGCUUCUCCUCAUGUGGCUCCAUGUCUGCUGGCAUGGCCUCCCACCAGGGAAUGCCUCCGGAAGAGGAGGAGGAAAACUCUCUGAUCUGAACCUUGCAUAAGACGAAAGCAAAGCUGGAUGGAAAGGAAAGAGCCUCGUUAUGGCAGCAAGAUGUUUCCUGCAGGAUCACUGGCAAGUGGAGAGGAAAUAUGGGACUACUUAGGCAAUGAGACAUGGCCUGAGAGAUGGAAACAAGGAAGGAGAGAUAGAUCAGAAGAGGAUUUAGGAGAGAGAAUUGGAUAUGGGCUGGAAAGGAAGUCACGGCUAGAAGGGGAAGGAAAAUCGUGGAAAUAUUUACAGCAGCCAAAACAAUGAGAUAGAGAACACCAAUAUUGGAAAAUAUUCAAGUAGCGUAUUCAAGAGACAAGAAAUCAUCUCAGGAGAACUGCAAGCUACCAGAAAUUAUUUCCACUUCACUUGAGAAUUCAUUUGUUACAUCUUUUUGUUACAUUUUUUUUUAAUUCUCUGGAAACUCAUCUGGUACCUAUGGGGAUAAUUUUUGAGUCACUAUGCUGUAAUUCAGUGACUAAAAACUGCUGAUGUCUCUUUCAGUGACUCAGUUUUCUGUUAUUUCAAGAGGAAGUAUGUCUACUCCUUCAUGAUAAGGAAAGAAGCCCGAAUUUUACAGAAAUUUCUCAAAUCUUCUGAGCACUAUCACAUCCGGCUGCAGAUUAAACAAACACACCCAGCAACAUAUGGAAUUAAGAGCUAAGGAGAAAGCCCUUUAAUGUUGAAGGAAAUGUUUCUUCAAAUGCUUUGGAUCAGGCGUUGCAUUUCCAUUGGAAACCACGGUACGUUUUCCACUGGAAACCUUCACAUCCCUUUGUACAAGGAAUAAGUGAAGUGAGGGUGUUGCUUCAUGAACAUGUGUGCUGUAAGUUCACUGUAAAUGCUCAAUAUUGGAGAUUACUUCCGUAAGUUUCAGGCAGCAUUUCUUUUGCUGUCAGAAUAAAAAAUGGACGAGCUCAACUUCUACAAGAGCUGGCCAUUUGGUUCAACCCAGCAGAGUCUGGAAGCAGUAGUUCAGCCCUGGCAUCGCUCUUCCAAGGAAAUAGAAGACGUUCCAUAUUCAGGGCAAAUUCCUUUUGGACUGACAAUGUGUUUUUCUGUGAAGGAGCUCCCAUUGAGGAGCACCUGGCUCUGUGGAUGAGCUCCUCCUGAAAACAAAGCCUGGGUUUUCAGCAGGAUGGAGCAUCCCACUGCACCACUUCCCUUGGAUUCAGCCGGUGGGAACCUCGGCGCCUCAUCUUACUGUGACAGGGGGGUGUCAGAAUUUGGCUGAGAGUAUCUCCCAAAACAGCACACUGUCAGAUACACAAAUCUCAUGAUUUUAUCUACAGCGCCAUUAUUUUCCCUUUCUUUGUGUUUGCAUAGUGAAUUAAGUUAUUUUGGAUCGGAGCCAGCAUGCUUCUCAGCCUUUAUUUGAAUAUAUUCCCAUUGAGCCUUGUUGGAGUUUGAAAAAAAAACAACAAAAAGCCUAGAUCAGAUCUGCAACAUCUUACUCCUUUUAUUAUUAGUUUAAAGCAGAGGCUAUCUGAAGGCUCACUAAAACAAAUGAAGUUGAGAAAUGUCAGUGGGAGUUUGGCUCUCCUGUCUGCUGAAGGAGAUUUUUUAAAAUUAAUGUAUUUUCUUCUAUGUCAUAGAUUUGGCUUUUACUAUCAGGCCCAAAAGCAUUUGCUCUCAUCCCAAAUAUGGUACUUGCAUUGAUUUUAAUUCUUGUGCUGGAGGAUUAGAGUGCCUCCGCACACAGAUUGCUACAGGACCAUCCCCUCCAACUCUGCCCCUCCUAGGGCACUGAGGGACUACAGCUGUAGUUAUUCCUGUUUCUUGUACAUGCGUGUUGCAAACGUGAUGUGUCAUUUUUGUACUGCAGUUGAUAGUUUUAGUGAGCAGUUAUUCUGCAAGAGAAGCUGCUCUUUGAAGUUAGGGCUUGAGAUCACAAAUGGAGGAUGUGUGCCCAGCCGCUCACAGGAAAAUAAACAGAGAGGCCCGCUCUGCUGUGCCACCUUUAACAAACAUGCAGCACUAGUCAGGGCUUUAAAAGAAAACAACACAGUUCCUCCUACCACCCAGUAAAAAAUGUACGUUUGCAAUCUCGUCUUGUUUUGCAUAUGAUUGGUAGCAUACUUUUAAACUGCUGUAAGUAAUAAAAAUAUAUAUGUGCAAGUUGGCUAUAAGAAAUGCCAAAGUUUCACCUAAUAAAAUUUUGGUAUGCCUCAAUUUUCAAAGUAAAUUUGAUUUAUUUGAGCCACCAGCCAUCUGAUGACAGCCUUGUGUUUUUUAUAUGACUCAUGUCCCAGAGGGUCUAGAAUAUGCCAAUAGUGUACCUUGGACCAGAUCCAG